rnacentral:lncRNA from 1 species
UUAUAGUUGACAUGGAACGCCACUAUGACAGUAUACUCAUACCAUAUAAGUUGGUUUUCAUCGGUAGGUCUUGAAAUCAAACUAACCAAACCUGUUGAUUUGAAUUGUAGUUGUAAAUUUGAUUUGAUUUUGAUCAAGAAAAAUGUUGAACGGUUCAAAAUGAAAUAGACUUUAUAUUUUGGUUCGAUUUUGAUUUUGAGUUUUUAUGAAACAGCCCAAACCAAAUUGGGCCGGCCACUCAAGGGCGCAUCUAUUAAGGGACCAGAUGGAUCUGUGGACUUUAGGGAAAACGGGAAAAUGCUUGGAAGGAUCUAUGGGAACCCUAUGACAGUUUGGGAUAAAAUCUAAAAAUGAUCACCGCGUUUGAUGAAAUCUUGCUCUGUAGAUGGUGGUAGGUGAAGCUGGACAUGUCUCGGUAGGUUCAAAAGGCAUUGGCAUCAAGGCCUGGUAGAUGUCAGCAUGCCCAUCAAAUGCUUGAUUAAACGCGUCACUAAUAAAACUCAUCACAAAUCACUUGAACUCAACAAAUUCGCCCUCCACUUGAGUUGCUUCGUCUUAAAAAAGUUUUGAACUUUCAUACUAGUAUCAAAUGAGGUAUGAAUUUUAGAUUCACCACUGCAACCGCUUAUUUAUUUAUUUAUUUUUAUAUUAUUUUAUGUUACAUGUCUAAGUGGCUAGUUACUAGAUAAGUAAGUUUGAUGGCAUGUUGAAUUUCAAAAUGAUUUUAUGUGAUGGAAAAUAAUGAAUAUGUAGGAAUUAUUAUUUAUGUAAUUUUUGAGGUAGUUGGGGUAACAAAGUUGCAAGAUGUAAUCUUCUAAAAAAAAAAGGGGUUGUAAAAUGCAAAAGAGAAAAGAAUGGUCGUAGCCCCAAAACCUGUCCGCACUAAAUUUUGGAGUACGAUUCUUUUGCCUUCUAUCCUCAUUCCUUUAGGAUUCUUUUGCCUCAUGUUCUUAUCCCCUUUUAUUCUCUUCUCUCAAGGUUUUCUCUUUAUCUUUCUGUCUAUAAAAAAAUCUUACAAAAUGUUGACGUAACUUAAUCGUAACCAUUUAAAUAGAAGGAGAGAGAAGGGAAGAGAGAUUAGGAGGGGAAAGAAUCCUUCCCCCCUAAAUUUUUCAAAAUUGGCUUGGUUUGGUUUGAUUCUGUUUGUAGGUGAUAUUUGUUAAAAGGGGUGUGAUAUCUACACACCCCAUUUUACUUCUCACACACUCUUCUAAUUUUCGACAGUCGAAUCGGAUGAAUUGAAAAAGAUCAACAAACAAAAAUUAACAAGGGUGUGUAAGAAGUAAUUUGGGAUGUGUGGAUAGCACCCCUUGUUAAAAUGGAAUUGAAUUAAACCGUUAUAUUGUAUAUUGUAUACUUAUUUGAUAACAAUUAUGCGAUCAAAUCGAUCCUGUCCAAAAUUGUGGGCACCUACAGUUGUUAGUUAAUAUGGCAAUGCUUCUUUUUUAAGCCUGUGACUGAUAAAGCACAUGAAAAUACUGACCGGAAAGUCACAUAACCAUGUACUUUUUAAACAAAAAUGUCUAUCUAUUAAAAAGUACUGUCAAACAGAAAAUGAUUUUCACACAAUAUUUUUAAUAAAUAAAAUAAAGAGACAUAAAUAUACAGUGAUGUGCUGACCGGGGGAAAACAAAGUGUGCAAAUCAUUUUUCUUGUCAAAUAAACCGAUUUUGAAUAAGGGAAAGAGAUUAGAGCUAUAAAAUAGUGGUUCAAAUUAUUCUUUUGUUAAAGGUACUGCAAAUAAAUGGCAAAGACAAUUAAAAAGAGAGAAAUGGUGGGAAAUUAUAGAGAGAUAAAGAUAGAACACUGUUGGCAGCAUUUGUCAUGUGAUGUGAGUCUCUCUCUUCUCCUACUCCUAUUUCAUUCUCUCUCCUCUUAUUCAUAUCCCAUUCUCUCCUAUCUUUUAACAAAUAUAGUUUUAACGAAAAGAUCGCGGUACUGUUCAUUUUAACAAAAAAUUAUAUUUUUAUACUAAAAAGUCAAACCUUAUACUAUUUACUUUACCCUGUAUUAUUCUUUUAACUAUUAAAAAAUUAACACUAAAUAUUAAUCAUAACUGUUCAAAUACAACAACAACAACAACAAAGCCUUUUCCCACUAAGUGGGGUCGGCUAUAUGAAUCCUAGAACG